AUACGGAGGGUGCAAGCGUUACUCGGAAUCAUUGGGCGUAAAGCGCGCGCAGGCGGCUAUUUAAGUUGGAUGUGAAAGCCUACGGCUCAACCGUAGAACUGCAUCCAAAACUAUUUAGCUAGAGUGUGGGAGAGGAAGAUGGAAUUAGUUGUGUAGGGGUAAAAUCCGUAGAGAUAACUAGGAAUACCAAAAGCGAAGGCAAUCUUCUGGAACACUACUGACGCUGAGGCGCGAAAGCGUGGGGAGCAAACAGGAGUAGAUACCCUAGUAGUCC
rnacentral:rRNA from 1 species